rnacentral:rRNA from 1 species
AUUGAACGCUGGCGGCAGGCCUAACACAUGCAAGUCGAGCGGGGUUUUCGGACCUAGCGGCGGACGGGUGAGUAAUGCGUAGGAAGCUGCCCGAUAGAGGGGGAUACCAGUUGGAAACGACUGUUAAUACCGCAUAAUGUCUACGGACCAAAGUGUGGGACCUUCGGGCCACAUGCUAUCGGAUGCGCCUACGUGGGAUUAGCUAGUUGGUGAGGUAAUGGCUCACCACGGCGACGAUCUCUAGCGGGUUGGAGAGGAUGAUCAGCCACACUGGAACUGAGACACGGUCCAGACUCCUACGGGGGGCAGCAGUGGGGAAUAUUGGCCAAUGGGCGCCAGCCUGAUCCAGCCAUGCCGCGUGUGUGAAGAAGGCCUUCGGGUUGUAAAGCACUUCCAGCGAGGCGGAAGGGGUGUGUGUUAAUCGUACACACCUUUGACGUUACUCGCAGAAGAAGCACCGGCUAACUCUGUGCCAGCAGCCGCCGUAAAAC